GCGAAGCCGCGAGGUAGAGCAAAUCUCAAAAAGACAUCUCAGUUCAGAUUGCAGGCUGCAACUCGCCUGCAUGAAGUCGGAAUUGCUAGUAAUCGUAGGUCAGCAUACUACGGUGAAUACGUUCCCGGGCCUUGUACACACCGCCCGUCAAACCAUGAGAGUUGGCAACACCCGAAGUCGGUAGUCUAACCGCAAGGAGGACGCCGCCGAAGGUGGGGUUGAUGAUUAGGGUUAAGUCGUAACAAGGUAUC
rnacentral:rRNA from 1 species